rnacentral:rRNA from 1 species
AAACUUUCAACAACGGAUCUCUUGGUUCUGGCAUCGAUGAAGAACGCGGCGAAAUGCGAUAAGUAAUGUGAAUUGCAGAAUUCAGUGAAUCAUCGAAUCUUUGAACGCACAUUGCGCCCGCCAGCAUUCUGGCGGGCAUGCCUGUCCGAGCGUC